GUUGUGUCGCUCAGCACACUUUAGUUUCAGGAUUGUUGCGUGCUUUCAUCCAGCUCAAAGCUGCUCUCUGGCUUCCUGGUGCUCAGUUUUUCCUUCAUUCUGCUAACAUGACGCCUUUCGCGCCAAACGCAAGGCCUCGGCGUCCCAGACGGAAGAUCUACACUUUCUGGUGGUACUUCCUGAGCAUCUGCGCAGAGGCCCUUCUGUACCUGCUGUCUACUUUAUCUGAUGCUUGUGAACUACCACCACCAUUUGAAGCUAUGAAACUCAAGGGCAUAUCUAAACCCUAUUAUGAGGUUGGAGAGACAAUAGAAUAUAAGUGUAAAAAAGGAUACCUAUAUCUGCCUCCAUUCCUCAUGGUUACUACCUGUGAACCAAAUCAUACAUGGGUCCCUAUUUCAGAUGAAGGUUGUAUUAAAGUGGAAUGCACUAAACUAGAGAACCCAUCAUUUGGCAACAUACACUACAUAGAUGGCAGAAUUUCAUGGGGUUCUCGAGCUCAAUUUACUUGUAUGGAGGGUCAUUACUUAGUUGGUAUGUCAGUUCUACACUGUGUGCUUAAAAGUGAUGAUCAUGCAUAUUGGAAUGGUCCUUCCCCACAUUGUGAAAAGGUUUAUUGUUCACCACCUCCAAAAAUAAAAAAUGGAACACACACCUUUGGUGAUAUAGAUGUAUUCAAGUACCGUGAAUCAGUAAUUUACAGUUGUGAUCCUAACCCGGGGCCAGAUAAAUUUUCCCUUGUUGGAAUGAGCAUACUAUUCUGUUCUGGCCAUAACACCUGGAGUAGCAAGCCUCCAGAGUGUAAAGUGAUAAAAUGUCCAUUUCCAGUACUACAAAAUGGAAGACAGAUAUCAGGAUUUGGAGAAAAUUUUUCCUAUCAAGCAACAGUGAUGUUUGAGUGUGUGGAGGGUUUUUAUAUGAAGGGCACUGACACAGUGGUCUGCGGUGCUAAUAGCACUUGGGACCCCCCCAUCCCAAUAUGUCUUAAAGGAUAUCCUAAUCCUCGUGAAGGAAUAUUUGGCAAAGAAUUAGGUUAUUAUUUCAGUUAUUUAUACCCCUGAAGUAUGAGACUUUAGCAGUUUACAUGGAAAUAUCAUACAUUUCAGUUACUGGCAGUUAAAGAAGCAGCAUAUCUUGUUAGUAGUGAUAGUUGACAUUUAGGAUUACUUAUUUUGGGCUAACACCAUGACAAAUGUAAGUACUAUUAUGCAGAGUAAUAUGUAGGUAAGUACAAUUUCAUAGAUGGGCCUUAGUGUAGGAAAUUUUAUAGGCUGAGGUUAAAGUUCAUAAAACACAACCAUGGUAAAUUGAAUUCCUAAGUUGAAAAUGCACUUAGCAUGUCUGCCUGAAGAUUGUCAGAGAUGGUAACAUAGUCAGGGUUCUGGUUUCACUCAUGUGAUCCUGCUUGUGUAGCAAAUGUGGCUUGCCUCUGCGGCCUAAGAUCUAAAAUAAGAUCCGCUACCUAAGAUCUAAGCCUUAUGUCAUAUUGCUAACCCAGGCAAAAGUCAAAAUUCAAAGUUCAACACUGGUUUCUGCUGAAUAUACAUUAGUGUCAUACCAAAUGUAGAGUGAAAUCAUUCAGUCAAACCAUUACAGUUUGAGAACUGUCUAUAUAUGAUUUAGCUUCAAAUUCUGUAGUCACUAUGUGUCACUGUGUCAACAAACCCAGUGCUUCUUAAACUAUUAAACAUAUGAUAACCAUGAAGAGCAGAAUUAAGACCAAGACUUCAUUCAUAGCAAUUUAAUGAAAAUUAUGGAACUUUAGAAGCAAAUACUUCAGUAGAUAUAAAUACUUUCAAACUUUAAGAUUUUGUAGACUUUAAUGUUCUCUGGUAGACCUAAUUAGCAUUAAUUGUUAAUUUGCUACAGCCUAUAGUCACCUGAAAAGGCACGGUCACUGUAGGGACUGCCUAGAUCAGAUUGGCUUGUGGGCAUGGGAAAAGGAGGUUGUCUUGAUUGUUGAGUUAUGUAGGAGAUCUGUGGACAGCUCUGAACAGGUAGUUCUGCACUGUAUAAGAAAGCUAGCUAAAGCUGGGCAGUGGUUGUGCAAGCCUUUUAAUCCCAGCAUUCUGGAGGUAGAAGCAGUUGAAUCUCUGUAAGUUUGAGGCAAGCCUGAUCUACAGAGCUAGUUCCAGGACAACGUAGACUACAAAAAGAGACUCUGUCUCAAAAACCAACCAACUAAGCAAUAAAACAAAACAAAAAGAAAGCUAGCUAAGCAUGAACCUACUAUCAAGCCAUCAAUAGCCAUCAAUAGCCUUCCUUCAGGGUUUCUGCUGUGUUCUCUCAGCUGUGCGUUUCUUGGUUAAAGAUAAUGUUGUGUGGAAUAGCCGACAGGCCUGCCUUCAAGUUCUGCCUUGAGUUCUUGCUGUACUUACCUGAGUGAAUGCUAACCCAGACAAAUUUUUUUCCUUCCCUAUAUUGCUUUUGACCAGAGUAUUUUUAUGUCAUCAAGAGAAAGAAAACCAGCAGACCCAGUUAGUCAACUGUGCUUGUUUAAAUUCCUCUGCAUAACUUAGCAAUGCAGUAGGUGGUUUUUGAACAUGUUACCUAAGUGCUUCUGCUACUGAGCUGUAUAGCCAUCUCUGAGGGUACACUUUGAGAAGGGAAGGUCUUUGGUAUUUAGGACUAUAUCUUCAUUUAAGGGUGAGGGUGGGGUUGUGAGGGCAUAGGGAUGACAGGGCCCUCGUAAGGUAAAAUAUUAUUUGUAAAGAAUUGAAAAUAGCAUCUGUUUAAUUAAUUGAUUGAAACUUAUUUAUAACAUUCUACAGUUCUACUUUUUGGGAAAGAUGGAUUUCUUUUUAAAAAUUAUAACGAAUUAUAGAUUGCAUACUGAACUAAACCAAAUAUAAGAAGAUCAUAUAUUGGGUAAUGAUUUUCCUCUAUUCAGUGAAUUCUAAUUGUCCUGUAAUCAUUACUAAAUAAGCUGCUGUUGUAAGAAAAGCAAAAACACUGAAAAUUGAAUUUUACAUGUUGGACACAAAAUCUGGAAAUGGGCUUAUAAGUAUUCUGUGAUUAAGAUGUCUUGGGUAUAUAGUGAUUGUGUUCAAAUUAGAUAAAUUAACUUUUAUUAUUCUCUUAAGUAUAGAUUAUCUAAACUAAUCUAGAGACUUCUAUAUGCUUGGCUCUUUUUUUGUUAGAUGCAUGGAUUAUUGCUCUGAUUAUUAUUACUUCAAUUGUUGGAUUUGUUGUAAUUUGUCUCAUUAUACUCCGAUAUCUUGAGUUCAGGAAAAAAGGAAAUAUAUCUGCAGCAACAUAAGAAGCCUAUGCGUGGAAGUCAUUACUGUUCCAUUUUUGAAAACUGGCUCUUCAAGUCUGCCAAAAGUAAAGUUAUAUAUUUGCAGAAGUUUCAUUUGUGAUAAUGUGUGUGUGUGUGCUUCUAGUGUAAAUCAAAUCUGUUUCUAAAUGCAAUCUGUGUCUAACCUCUCUACCAUCUUCUCACAUCUCAGCCCCUCCAGCUCACCAAGGGUUCUCAACAUCCAAACCUGAGUGCCUGUGUCCUGAGCAGUGACAUGAUAUCUGCAGGAAGAAGGCCACAUUUCCAAGAUGACACCAGACCUUCUACAAUUCUCUUAUCCUUAUACCUCAAAGUUUCAUGCACAUAAUGGCUGUGCAUUAAACACAUGUCUGUGUCUUUCACACUCUCAAUCUAUUAUUACCUGAAAUGCUUAAUAUCCUCUCCCUAUCCAUGUAUCUCCAAGGGUAAUGCAUGCCCAACAUGUCCUGUGAAGCUCUAAUUCCUCAGGAUCUUAAUCUUCUAUUGCCUAGCCUUAAGAGUCUAUAUACGUUUCUAAUAGGAGAUUAACUUUCAUAUCACUUUAAUGCAUUCAUAGGUCUCAUAAAACAAAGUCUGGCAGUUAAAAACUUGACUUGUAUAAGUCACAGGACAUAAUUUUCUUUAUGUAUAAAUAAUUCUUGCUGCCUUUGUAGAUAUGAAGUAAGCCAGACCAAGUAAAGCUAGGCCAGUGUUUCUCACCUAAGGCUGUCCAUUAGCCUCCCCAGGGAGCUUUAUUGACACUUGAGUACCACCCCAGCAGGCUCUCCUGUUUUUAAUUUGAGAUGCGGCCUGAACACAGGAGGUUUUAACUUCUAUGGUGAUUUUAAUUUGCAGCUGAGGCUGAGAAUCUCCAUUAGCAACUUUCAGGCCUAACAAUCAACUUCAUAUAGAAGCUUAAAGAAAACCAUAGUUUAAUUCUGCCUAUUAUAAAACAAAAUUUCAAAAACUUGAAUUUAAUGUUGUUCAUGAGUUGGGGAUGUAUCUCAGCAAAAGGUUUGCUCAGCAUGUACAAGACGCUGAAUUUGCUCGGCAGAUGGCACAUGCCUUUAAUUCCAGCCGUCGGGAAGCAGAAGGAGGAGGGUCUCUGUGAGUUUGAGGUCAGCCUGGUCUACAGAGUAAGUUCCAGGACAACCAAGGCUACAGAAACCCUAUCUCAACGAAACAAAAAAAAUCAUUAACAGACUAUUAACAUAACUUUGUUUGCUUAGAAGUCUUGAUGUCUAUCAAAAUAAGCAAUGAUAAAAAAUGUAGUUAAAAUGUUAUUUAUGAAUAAUGUCAACAUUCCAAAAUUACAUUGAUCUAAAGCAUUUUAGAUAAUAAACAUGUGACUAGCAUAUUUUUUAAUUGGCAUAAAAUAUAGAGAGACUGUUUACAGUAACCAACAAUAAAUUGUCUGAAUUAUGCUAGAAAGACCUUAGGAGUAAAAGGAAUUUGACUUGCAUCUUAAAGUAAUUUUAAGGUUUAAGGGAAAUAAGCAAUUCUACAGUGUUCUAAAGCUUGUGAUACCUGAGAGCUAACAUUUUAACCAAGACUGGAUUUUAUAUAUUUUAACAUUUUGCCUACUUAAGAGCAGAAUUUAAUAAUGUACUAAUGUCUAGAAGUGAUUCAGGAUUAAGUGACUACAAUACACAACUAUUCUUCCUCAUGUUUCGCUAUGUUUAGGAUCUCUAGGCUCAUCCAGAGGUUACCCUGAGCAGUCAACCUUUGAGAGCACAGCACUGCUGCCCUCCUGUGGACUGUUUUGGAUAUUGGACAGUCCUCUUACCCCUUCACUGUGAGGUUGUCAUUGCUGGGACUCCAGAGCCAUUAAUUUUAGAUCAUGUAAAACACUAGCUCUCUUCUGCUUUUGUGAAAGUAACAUUUUCUUUGUUAUUCGCUUCUGAAAUAUGAGGGAAAUAUAAUACUCGGGACAGAAGUGAAUGCAUAAUUUCCCUUCUUGCUUACAUACAUACAGCAGGUGAACACAUUGCCACACACACAAUGCUGAAAAACUACCCACUUUUAUACCUGACAUGACUGGACAAAAUCCAGUAAGACCUGAGUAUAGGUAGUAAGACUGAUGUGAAGAAUAGCUCUGAAGACUGUUAUAUAUUGCAAUGCUAAACCCUGUGUGGAACCAGCAGAAACAGGAGCUCUAGUGUUUGGGGCUUGUGGCUUCACUGGGAAUUAUCUAAUGCUUAGGUAAACACGUUAAGCAUGGUGUUGGAAAAAUUAAGUCAUCUGAUUACCUGCCUCCACAAAGUCUCAUCAAAAAAUAUUAAAUCUGUACUUGAGGUGAGCUUAAACCAUGAAGAAUUUCUUCUGUAGUCUCCCAUAGCAAUAUUCUCAAAUUGAUGUGCAGGUUAAUAACAUCAUGAUCUUGUUAAAAGGUGAACACUGAUCAGAGAAGACAGCGUGAAGGCAGUGUGACCCCAGAAGCAAAUGUGACCCUGCUGCUUUUGAAGCUUGAGGACAAGCCAAAGAACACAGCCUAUUUAUAAACAAAGUCAAGAAACCUAUUUUUCCUUCAUAUUUCUGAAGGGUUUGUGUCUGAUAGCACCUUGAUUUCAGUCCAGUAAAAACGAAGUCAGAUUUCUGCUACUCAGAGCUGCUAAGAAUGUUAAGUGUGUGUUAAGACAUCACAUUUGUGCCAAUUUGUUACAGCAAUGACAGGAAAUGUAUGCACCAACAAAACAGCGGGUAGCAUAGAACUAUAACGAAUAUAGUACGGCCUUUUCAGAAAUAUGGAAGUGGCUCUCAACCGUGGCUGCACACUAGAUUCACCUAAGCCUCAUUCUGAGACUAGCUAAAAUAGUACUUGCUUGCAGGCAUGGGACCUGAGGAUCACUCUUUCAAUGACCAAAGUGUGCCCCAGAAAAAAAACACACUAAAACUAUCUUAGGCUUCUCUAAAAAGUACAGUGUGCUAGCUAUCCCCAAGUCUAUAUGCCAGCUUCCAUACUGAAGGCCUAGACCAACUUCUUAAAAGAUAGGGUCUAUACUUAACUCAUUUGAUAUACUAAUCUGGUUGCAGAGCUUCCCCAGUUAACAAAAAUACACUGUAGUCACUUCUAAAAAGUCUGGUACGGCUCAAGUUAAUAAUGUGUCAACAAAAGAUUUUCUACCUGGGUUAACAACGUGGUUUUAUAAGCCUGACUCAGGAGGGUGUUACCAAAACCAAAAUCUACAUUACCAGUCAAUUAUGAAACUACCCCAGAGUGACAAUUUUAUGUAAAGCAUCUAGAAAACAAAACAAAACAAAACAAAACAAAACAGCCAAGAGGCGUUUGUUGAGGUAGUUUAAGCAUUCAGUGAGGGUAUUAUUUUUAUAAAAAAACUUAAAUCACUGUUUUUGUGUUUUUAUAUUAAACUGUCUCCCAGCACUUAACUGGACUCAUGACCUUGGGGGUGUUUUAAUUAUAUUUUCAAAACAAAUUAAUUGGGAGUUUUGGACAGGGUACCUAUGUUAUAUUAAAAAAAGGCUUAAUUUGUAGUUAAUAUCACAAACCCAAUAUGUCAUACUUUAGAGGUGCUGCAGUCUCCUACUUUAGUGGGGCAAAUUAAAAAAUACAGCUGAGGGACUUAGCCAUUUUCCCCGCUACAUCCUAGGACUUAGGACAUGGAUUAUCAAUCAGAAGCUUGAGCUAGCUCUGCAGCUAUCAUAGUAUCAUAGUAUCAUAGUCAUUGGGAAGUCUUUCCAGCAAAUGCUCCAGCAACCUCCUACUUCUAGCAAAAUGGACAAGAAAGCCAUCUGGGUUAAGGCUAUUGGUAUGUAGGCUCAGAAAAAGUUUCCUGAGCAGCGCAUUUGCCAUCAGUUAUUGAAACGACUGUACUGUCGGUAGUUCAUAGUUAGCUAUGCAGCUCCUAUGGAAGGGGCCACAUGUUAUUUUUCCUGAAGGCUCUCCAAGAAUGAACCUUGCCCCCGAGUGCUGUCCAAUCUGGCAAAUCUCUGAACAGUUUUACAAAAUUCUCUCACCACCUAUUUAAGGGCUGAAAUAAACUAUCUGCUGAAAGUAGAACUCCAUCUGCUACAAAUGUAACUGAAAUUAGCCUGCUCCCCUUUAAGGGCCACAUGACAGUAUAGUUAAGUAAGUUCCCUGCAAGCCAUACAGGAGGAGAGUCAAGAGUUCACAGGUCCCUUGGAACCAAGAAUAGUCUUCCCAUUUAAUAAAAUCCCUCAGCCUAGAGCUCCAACCUUCUGUCUCUGCUAAUCUUUCAUCCUUAUAAUUUCAUUUCCAUUUAAUGACCUUCAUUUUUAAUGUCUAUACGCAGCAACCUACUUCCAAUUCCUCAUGACUGGCACAGUAAAUUAACUUUGUAGGGCCCAGUUCUCAUUGCCAUAGAGUUAUGAAUGAAAAAGAACAGAUACAAACACAGACAUGAUAAAUUGAAUAUUGCAAAAUUAUUUAUUAAAGAUGGGAUGCAUCAACAUACUCUUAAGAGAAAGAUGAUUCAGCAACAACCAGUUUAUACAAUUCAUAACAGUACAUGUCAAAAAUUGCAACUGAGGAUAUCAGAUAAAUUACAAUUUAGUUAAAAAAACCAAUAAGUGAUUUCUAACUUCCAAAACCACAUACAUAUGCAUUAAAGAAGUUAGGAAACUGUGUUCUUCCUUCUCUGCUCUGCCCAUGUAGGAAAUGACAGGCUGCUGCUGACCAGACACCACAAGGCUCUGAGGCUGGUGCUUUUCCCCCUACAUCAUAACCGAUUUCAAAUGGUGCUAGACAGGAACAGACUCUGAACACCAGGAGAAAUCGGUCAGCCUGUGUAAGAGAUGGGCCAGUGGUGUUCUUCAGGUCUGAACCUCAAGGCAGGUGACAAGUCUGCUUUCAGCUGUGAUGCAACCAGGACUGAGUGCUCCAGGUAUCUUCCAGGUACAGGCAGGCAGUAUUGAUGUGAAUGAAGUAGUCCUCCACAUACACAGCCCUCACCCUUUCCCUGCUAUAAUCAACACCCAGAACAUCACUGAAUGAUGAACAGUGCAAGCCCUCAGCCACCUUCCCCACCCAUGGAAUGCUGGAUAAAGUAGAUAACUCUUUGCCUCUGGUCAAACCCUUAUGUUUAUUCUGAACACAAAAUUUUCCUAAUACAACCUCUAAACCAGACGAGAAAAUUUUCAUUAUUCAAGUCUUCCCUUGAUUUCUUGAAGGAGAGAGUCAGUCCUGUAUACAGCUGCUCCUCUGUAGUUUACUCUCUGCUGUGCUGCAAUUCUUACUCCUAAAACACUGAUUUCAAAUGGUGCUAGAUACAAAGAUGGAAAAAUCUAAGCCACCAUGUGAAACCAGCUUCCAGAAGAAGAGGAUCUCACUGAAGAAAGCAGAGAAGUGCAGUCAGAAGAUUCAGACUCAGCCCUGAUAAUCACCUUGCCUGUCAGAGGCAGAUGACCGCUAUACAAUGCUUCUCAGAGCAACAUCAGACUCAGCCAAAACUAUGAGCAGACAAGACCAAUGAAAAGUUUGUUUCCUGGAUGACUUUACAUUAGUUAUUAUACAUUAUUAUAUACAAUGAAGUAAAAACCAAAUCCAUUCAACAUA